rnacentral:rRNA from 1 species
AUUGAACGCUGGCGGCAGGCCUAACACAUGCAAGUCGAGCGGAUGAAGGGAGCUUGCUCCUGGAUUCAGCGGCGGACGGGUGAGUAAUGCCUAUGAAUCUGCCUGGUAGUGGGGGAUAACGUCCGGAAACGGGCGCUAAUACCGCAUACGUCCUGAGGGAGAAAGUGGGGGAUCUUCGGACCUCACGCUAUCAGAUGAGCCUAGGUCGGAUUAGCUAGUUGGUGGGGUAAAGGCCUACCAAGGCGACGAUCCGUAACUGGUCUGAGAGGAUGAUCAGUCACACUGGAACUGAGAAACGGUCCAGACUCCGACGGGAGGCAGCAGUGGGGAAUAUUGGACAAUGGGCGAAAGCCUGAUCCAGCCAUGCCGCGUGUGUGAAGAAGGUCUUCGGAUGGUAAAGCACUUUAAGUUGGGGGGAAGGGCAGUAAGUUAAUACCUGGCUGUUUUGACGUUACCAGCAGAAGAAGCACCGGCUAACUUCGUG